GACGAACGCUGGCGGCGUGCCUAAUACAUGCAAGUUGAGCGAUGAAGAUUGGUGCUUGCACCAAUUUGAAGAGCAGCGAACGGGUGAGUAACGCGUGGGGAAUCUGCCUUUGAGCGGGGGACAACAUUUGGAAACGAAUGCUAAUACCGCAUAACAACUUUAAACAUAAGUUUUAAGUUUGAAAGAUGCAAUUGCAUCACUCAAAGAUGAUCCCGCGUUGUAUUAGCUAGUUGGUGAGGUAAAGGCUCACCAAGGCGAUGAUACAUAGCCGACCUGAGAGGGUGAUCGGCCACAUUGGGACUGAGACACGGCCCAAACUCCUACGGGAGGCAGCAGUAGGGAGUCUUCGGCAAUGGACGAAAGUCUGGCCGAGCAACGCCGCGUGAGUGAAGAAGGUUUUCGGAUCGUAAAACUCUGUUGGUAGAGAAGAACGUUGGUGAGAGUGGAAAGCUCAUCAAGUGACGGUAACUACCCAGAAAGGGACGGCUAACUACGUG
rnacentral:rRNA from 1 species